UACGUAGGAGGCAAGCGUUGUUCGGAAUUACUGGGCGUAAAGGGCUCGUAGGCGGCCAACUAAGUCAGACGUGAAAUCCCCAGGCUUAACCUGGGAACUGCGUCUGAUACUGGAUGGCUUGAAUUCGGGAGAGGGAUGCAGAAUUCCAGGUGUAGCGGUGAAGUGCGUAGAUAUCUGGAGGAACACCGGUGGCGAAGGCGGCAUCCUGGACCAAUAUUGACGCUGAGGAGCGAAAGCUAGGGGAGCAAACGGG
rnacentral:rRNA from 1 species